rnacentral:rRNA from 1 species
UUGUGCAAAGGUAGCAUAAUCAUUAGUCUCUUAAUUGGUGACUUGUAUGAAAGAUUGGAUGAAAUAUAAUCUGUCUUAAAUUUAUAUUUUUAGAAAUUAAUUUUUUAAUUAAAAAGUUAAGAUUUAUUAAAAAGACGAGAAGACCCUAUAGAGUUUUAUAAUUUAAUUUGAUUAAAAAUAUUUAUAAAAAUAAAAUUUAAAAUUAUUUAAAUUAUUUGAUUGGGGUGAUUAAAAAAUUUAAUAAACUUUUUUUUUUUAUUAUACAUAAAUAAGUGUUUUUAAUGAUCCAUUUUUAUUGAUUAAAAGGAAAAAUUACCUUAGGGAUAACAGCGUAAUUUUUUUUUUUAGUUCGUAUAAAAAAAAGAGUUUGCGACCUCGAUGUUGGAUCAGGACA